rnacentral:lncRNA from 1 species
AGACAGAACGCUUGCGAGGCACGCCAGGUGCGACCAAGUGCACCAGAUUCGAAAAACUUAGCCAAACCGCCCUAGGUAUGGGGCCGCAGGCAGCAGCAGAGGAGUCUGAUAGGUAAGAAGGGUCAAUUGAGAGUUCCUCCCUGCUGGGCUCAGGAGGACUCAGACUGACCCAGUGAUGGCCCACAUUGAACUGGAGAAUCUUGGACCAGAUUUUGGAGGGCUUUGAUUCUGCACAUGCUGGAUGAGGUGUCAGAAAAAUAUGACUUACCACUAGCAAAAAUAUCCCUUCACUUUCUUGAGGAGGAGGCAAAAGGCAAAACACAGAAAGGGGGUGAGUGUUUCCUUCAACUAAUCACAGACCUCAGACCGCCCAUACCCAUCUGUGAAGGAUGGAAGCUGAUGGUAGGUGAGGAUACUGAGUCUCAGAAAGGUUAAGUGAGUUGCCCGAACUUACAGUACUACUAAGUGGAGAAGCCGACUUUUGGAUCUCAUGGACCGCACAUCUAUUCCAGGUGUGGACGCUUAGCCAAUAAGCUAUAAUGCCUCCCAGGAAAGGAUGUGCUUUGAGGUGACCCUUGAACAUGGGUAGAAUUGGGAUAAUCAGAGAUAAGGAAGGACAAUGUGGAGUUCCUGUCCUGGCUGGAGGAAACGAAUCUGACUAGUAUCCAUAAGGACACAGGUUCAAUCCCUGGCCUUGAUCAGAGGGUUAAGGAUACAGCAUUGCCAUGAGCUGUGGUGUAGGUCGCAGACACUGCUUGGAUCCCACGUUGCUUUGGCUAUGGGGUAGGCUGGAAGCUGCAGCUCUGAUUCGACACCUAGCUUGGGAACCUUCAUAUGCCAUGAGUUCAGCCCUAAAAAGCAGGGAAAAAAAAAAAAAAGUUACAAUGUAUGUAUGAAGGCAGGAGUGUCAAAAAGAAAUAUAAAACUGGAAGUGUUCAUACCAGGAGUUGAAAUACAUUUUUUUAAAAGUCUUUUUAGGGCCACAUCCUCGGCAUACAGAGGUUCCCAGGCUAGGGGUCUAAUUGGAGCUGUAGUCUCUGGCCUAUGCCACAACCACACCAACAACAGAUCCUCAACCCACUGAGCGAAGCCAGGGAUUGAACCUGCAACCUCAUGGUUCCUAGUAGGAUUCGUUUCUGCUGCACCACAACGGGAACUCCAGGAGUUGAAAUACAUUAAAAUAUGUGCACAUUUGGGAGAGGGUUGAAGGAGUUUUAAAAAAUACUGAAAAGUACAUAGAAGAAAAUAAUUCACCCUUGUUUUCAUCUUGCCUAUUUACAUUGUUUUGUUUUCAAAUUAAAACUACUUAAAAACUUAUACAUGCUCAUUAUAAGGAAUAUAAACAGUAUAGCAGGUACAACAAUAAAAGCUUUUAAAAGCUCCCCAAAUCCUAUCUAAAAAUUGUUACUACUAAUAUUAGGGAAAAUAUUAUUAGAUACAUUUUCUUUGAAUUUAUACAGGGAGGAGGAUGGAUGGACAGAUGGAAAAUGAUGUCUCAGUAUAGUUUUCAUUUGUAUUUUUAUUAGGGAGGUACAGAAUCUUCUCAUAUGUUUAAAAGUCAUCUGUACUUCAAUAUCUGUAUUAUUUAUAUUUCUUGCCCAAUUUUCUAUUGAGGUUGCUUAUCUCAUUUAUUUGUAGGAGGUCUUUUUAUACUAAGUAAAUUAGCUCUUUAUUAUAUGGGUUGGAAAUGAACUCAUUUAAUAAUUGGCCAGAUUUAAUUUUUAAAUUGUUUCUUUCAAAAAGGAUUUAUGGGUACCUUAUUGCUUGACUUUAAUAUUCAAGAAUGUUUAUUUCCAUUAUGUCUGAAAAUUUCUUUAAAAAAUUAAUUUUUGUGAUUAAAAUAUAUACAACAU